UGUGUUUUGUAUGUUUCUCAAAUGUACAUUGUAUCUUUAUAUUAUGACAUUUAGUACAGCCAGAAGAGGACUGGCCCCCCCUCAUAGCCUGGUUCCUCUCUAGGUUUCUUCCUAGGUUUUGGCCUUUCUAGGGAGUUUUUCCUAGUCACCGUGCUUCUACACCUGCAUUGCUUGCUGUUUGGGGUUUUAGGCUGGGUUUCUGUACAGCACUUUGAGAUAUCAGCUGAUGUAAGAAGGGCUAUAUAAAUAAAUUUGAUUUGAAACAAUUUUUGAUAAAUUGGAAAUAAAGAUAAGAUGGAGAAAAAUCUACAGGAUGAACAAUACUGGAGUUCUGGCCCAGGAACAGGGGGGGGUCUCCUUUUACAGUAUCGCUAUACACCGAGUGUACAAAACAUUAAGAACACCUUCCUAAUAUUGAGUUGCCCUCAGAACAGCCUCAAUUCAUCAGGACAUGGACUCUACAAGGUGUCGAAAGCGUUCCACAGGGGAUGCUGGUCCAUGUUGACUCAAGUGUCUCAAGGCUUAAAAAUCCUUCUUUAACCCAUCACCUCCCCUUCAUCUACACUGAUUGAAGUGGAUUUAACAAGCGGAUCAUAGCUUUCACCUGGAUUCAGUCUGUCAUGAAAAGAGCAGGUAUACUUAAUGUUUUGUACACUGUGUAAUAUCAUCAAAAAUAACAUUGCGAUACGUAACUAAUCGAUUCCCCCCCCCCCACAUUACUAACAUAAACGGCACAAUUUGCUAGGGUUUGGACAAAUAACUACACCCCAGCUAACCACAUCAUGAUUGAGCAAGACAUUUUCUAGACGAAGGAGAAGUAGCAUAUUGUUUUUAAAACGUGUUCAUGCUUUUCUCCUCUGACAAUAAAUAAAAAAACCUGCUGUUUCUAAGUGGGCGUGGUAGAUAUCACAACUGUUCAGUGAAGGACUCAGGUAGGAUACACAUGUCUAUCCUCAAUGAAACGUGGCUAUCGAGGAAGGGAGUAGGCCUCUUCAGUUUGCCUACUAACGAAUUGACAUCUCAAUAACUUAUCGGUUUCCGGGUCACAGAGGAAGGAGAGAGGGUAGAGGACGGGCUUUU
rnacentral:lncRNA from 1 species